CCCACCACCAAAUGAGAAUAAUACAUUGAUCCACUAAGAUGAUUGUUAUUUACACUUUCCUCCAAAUAACUAUGCUGGAAAUUAAGAGCUAGCUCACCAGAUAGAUGAUAGAUCACCUGUAUUGCCAUGCACACACAGUCCAGGCUCCAGAGCAGGAACUAGAAUGUCUGAGGCAGGAAGUGAUGGUGUACUCAUGUGUGAGAUUUUGGUUACAACCAAGAAAACAAAUAAAAACUUGCACAAACAUAAAGAUAAGUGGUAGCUAUGACGAGAUAUUUAAUGUAUUCUUCUGAAAGUUUUUCAGGGAGAAUUUAUGUUGACUGGGAAAAUCAACUAUAAAAUUUAGAGGGCCAGGGGUAGUGCACCCGGAAGAGUACAUAAGGACCAGGGUUCAAGCCUUCUGUCCCCACCUGCAGGAUGAACACUCUUUGAGCAGUGAAGAAGGGCUACAGGUGUCUCUUUGUCUCUUUCUCUCUCUCCCUCCCCUCUCAAUUUCUCUCUGCCUCUAUCCUAAAUAAAUAAAUAAUAAAACAUUAAGGACAAUAAGAAAUUAAAAUUAACUAACCAUAUAUUUGAUCAUGUCUAAAUGGGGGCUGAUUAUAAUUCCUAAUUAGAUGACUCUUAACUAAAUUGUGCUUUUUUUGUGUGUGUGUGCCUCCAGGGUUAUUGCUGGAGCUUGAUGUCUGCACUAGGAAUUCACUGCUCCUGGAGGCUACUUUUUCCCCUUUUGUUGCCCUUGUUAUUGUUAUUGCUGUUGUUGUUGUUGUUGGAUAGGACAGAGAGAAAUCAAGAGAGGAGGGGAAGACAGAGAGAGGGAGAGAAAGACAGACACCUACAGACUUGCUUUACAGCUUGUGAAACAACCCUCCUGCAGGUGGGAAGCCAGGGCUCAAACUGGGAUCCUUAUGCUGUUCCUUGCGAUUUGUGUCAUGUGUGCUUAACCCGCUGUGCUACCACCUGGCCCCCAGACUGUGCCAUUUUAAACUUUAUUUGUGUGGCCUUGACCUGAUGUAAAAUUCAAAUUUAUAUUUGAAAUUAGGUCUUCUUUUUUUUUUCUUUUGUAUUAGGAAGAAUUAAAGACAGUUAUUUAUACACCAUGCUUGACUUCAGUAGAACUUACUGCCUCUAUCAGUGUAUAUAUCAUAUGCAUAUAUCAACUUGGAUUCUUUUAAGAUGCAUGUCAAGUUACCAUCUAUUUUUUAUUUGUUUAUCUCAUUACAAUUCAGUGGAUCUAUGUAUAUAUAUAUCACUUUGAAGUUUGAAAAAGUGAAAAAAGCACUAUGAGAUGAAUUUUAAGAUUUGUGAAAAUCACUCCAUUUGUAAGUAUAUCUUCUUAUCUGGAAAUUAAGAAUAAUGAUAACUCAAGAGGUAGUUAUAAAGUUCAAUCUGAGUAAACAAAAUUGAAAAUGUUUUAAAAGUAGAACAUUCUACUUAAAUACAAGAGGAAUUUCUCGCAUUAUUUAAAUUUUUUUAUAGACCUACUUGUGAUGAGUACAUUUAAAUUAAGUCAGUUAAGUGAAUGUAAACACCUACCUAUUUCAACUCAAUGAUAUACACAUGUGUAUAUGUGGUUUACCUUUAAUAUUUUUCAUUUAGUAUGAAUUUUUCAUUGUGACUCUCAGUGAAUAAUUAUUCCAAAUUUAGUAAUCUGAUUAACAUACAUGUACUUUGUCUUUAUAAAAUUGUGAAGAAUUUAAGAUGUACCUCAUUAAAAUGAAAUAUGCAAACUCUGGCUAGGAUUGCAAUUAUUCUUCUGUUUUGUCAUGUGAUUAAAAGGCAAUAGAAUCUAUUCUUUGUGAAGCUAAGUAAAACAAAUUGUUCUGCCAGUACACAAAAAAAUCUUUACUAAAAAAUGAUCAUUCUGUAAACUGUAGGGGAAAUCUUCAGAAUGAAUUUACAGUAACAAUUUUAAGACUUCUUUUUCCCCCUUUAGAUACUAUUCUCUAGUUGCGCAGAUCAGGUAAAUAUCUAGUCUCUUUAAAUAAGCAUCCUGUACAGUUUUUGAAGUCAUAUCAAGUGGAUGUGUAAGCAACAAAUUUCUGUCUUAUGGGGCUCUAGAAAAAUGUUGGACAUUUUUAUUAUACAAGUAUUAGAAGAACUCAUAUUGCUAAACACUGUAUUAAGAGUCCUGCAGUUACAAGGAAUGUCUACAGUUUGCAAAUGUGACCUCACUUGGAACGAUAAUUUGUAAUGUUUGCCAGAAAAUAAACAGGAAACAAAUCUGAAAGUAAUUUGUAAAGUGGGAGAGAUAACUUUCUUUCCAAGAACCUAACUCUGUUAGAACCACGUCCUUACCUCUGUUAACGCCCACAUGCUUUUUUGUUUAAAGAGCCAGGUGACAACCAUAAAUUAAGUGAAUUUCUGAACCUCUGGAGACCACAAACCAAAACUGCUCGGAUUCUUCUUCCCUUCCUGCCACCAAGCCUUCCUCCUGCUAAAUGAAGAGUUGUAUAUGUUGCAAGAGACUAUUUAAUCAUUGAAGAGAGACAAAAUGUUCUGCUUUUCAGCACAUUUUAAUCCACAGCUGGUGCACAGAUUGGCAUUGAGUAUAUGUUAGUUUUAGCUGUGAAUUCUUUCAAGUUGAGGUUGCCUAUAUUUAGAUCUUGGGAGUUUUAGAAUUGCUGAAAGUAAAUGUUUGAAUGAGAAAAAUAUUGACUUGUGGAAAACACUGUUUAAUAAAGGUGUUGAUUUUGGCCAA